GAAAUGCGAUACUUGGUGUGAAUUGCAGAAUCCCGUGAACCAUCGAAUCUUUGAACGCACAUUGCGCCCUCUGGUAUUCCGGGGGGCAUGCCUGUUCGAGCGUCAUUAUAACCACUCAAGCUCUCGCUUGGUAUUGGGGUUCGCGGUUCCGCGGCCCCUAAAAUCAGUGGCGGUGCCUGUCGGCUCUACGCGUAGUAAUACUCCUCGCGAUUGAGUCUGGCAGGUCUACAUGCCAGCAACACCCAAAUUUUUACAGGUUGACCUCGGAUCAGGUAGGGAUACCCGCUGAACUUAA
rnacentral:misc_RNA from 1 species